rnacentral:misc_RNA from 1 species
GGUAUGGGGAGGAAUUGAGAUGUCGGAUUCUGUAUUGAUCACACAGCUUCUGAAUCUUCGGACCGUUCAGGUUCUUGGCGUUAUCAGUAACAAUUUCAUUCGGGAGACCAUGCCGGCAUAUGAUAUUGUUUCUGAAGAAUUUGAGAAACGUGUUCUGCGUGAUGUGAGCAUAGGAUGUCGCCUCGACCCACUUGGAGAAAUAGUCGAUGGCUACAAGGAUGAAUCUGUGCCCAUUGGAUGCCUUGGGAUUGAUGGGACCAAUCACAUCUAUGCCCCACAUUGCAAAAGGCCACGGUGAGACGAGAUUGAACAGCUUGUGAGGUGGUACAUUUAUCGGAUCUGCGUAAAUCUGACACUUGUGGCACUUCCGGAAAUACUCGAUGCAAUCCUUUUCCAUUGUGGUCCAAAAAUACCCACGUCGCAUGAUUUGCUU